UACAGGGGGUGCAAACGUUGCUCGGAAUCAUUGGGCGUAAAGGGUGCGUAGGUGGCCUUAUAAGUCAGCGGUGAAAGUCUGCAGCUUAACUGUAGAACUGCCAUUAAUACUGUAAGGCUUGAGUACUGAUGAGGUAGGCGGAAUUGAUAGUGUAGCGGUGAAAUGCAUAGAUAUUAUCAAGAACACCGAUUGCGAAGGCAGCUUACUAAGGAGUUACUGACACUGAGGCACGAAAGCGUGGGGAUCAAACAGG
rnacentral:rRNA from 1 species